GAUCAUCAGGGGAUUUGGUGCAGUGUGUUAACAGUAUGCUGAUGACACCCAAAACUAUAUUUCCAUGUCAACUUCAUCAAGAAAUGGCUUAACUUCUCUAAAUGGGCUGGAUGAGGGAGAACAAACUGAGGCUGAAUCCAAGCAAGACAGAGGUGUGGUGUGAUGUCUUCCCAACUUUGUGGAUGUUGCACAGUUGAUGACAAGCAAAUUUUGAGCCAAGUGUUUCAGAAGAUUGUGAAAAUCUCAGAAGAGGCAUUCCACCACAAGGAUCCUAUGCAGGUCCAUUCCAAUCUGAUUUCCAAUCCAAGUUUGGGACUGAAAUGGCCUUGGGCACCCUGGCGGAUAAGCAUACUAAGAGACUGAUGAGUGAAGUGAACCUGUUGAUCCUCCUGGACCUCUCAGCAGCUUUUAUUACCAACAGCCAUGAUAUUGUUCUGGGCCUCCUAUCAAGAAGGGAUUAUGGAAGCACUAUUUUGCAGUGACUCUAAUAUUUCCUGUAGGAUAGGUGUUAGAAGGUGGUGUUGGGGGUCCUCGGUUCUACCUUGUGUCCUGGGAGACACUUGCAGAUAUGUGGGAUAAAGACCCGGGAGGAGUCACUGAAAGAAAAUACCUUCAUUGCUAGAGUAUAUCAACAAGGA